rnacentral:tRNA from 1 species
AGGAUAUUAGUUUAGUGAUAGAACUUUAGUUUCUCACGCUAAAAGCAAGGGUUUGAUUCCCUUAUAUCCUACCA